rnacentral:rRNA from 1 species
GAUGAACGCUGGCGGCGUGCUUAACACAUGCAAGUCGAACGAAGCACCUUGAUUCGAUUCUUCGGAUGAAGAUCUUGGUGACUGAGUGGCGGACGGGUGAGUAACGCGUGGGUAACCUGCCUCAUACAGGGGGAUAACAGUUAGAAAUGACUGCUAAUACCGCAUAAGACCACAGCACCGCAUGGUGCAGGGGUAAAAACUCCGGUGGUAUGAGAUGGACCCGCGUCUGAUUAGGUAGUUGGUGGGGUAACGGCCUACCAAGCCGACGAUCAGUAGCCGAACUGCGAGGGUGACCAGACACAUUGAGACUGGGACACGGCCCAAACUCCUACGGGAGGCAGGAGUGGGGAAUAUUGCACAAUGGGGGAAACCCAGAUGCAGCGACGCCACGUGAACGAUGAAGUAUUUCGGUAUGUAAAGCUCUAUCAGCAGGGAAGAAAAUGACGGUACCUGACUAAGAAGCACCGGCUAAAUACGUG